GUGGGAAUAGCUCAGUGGUAGAGUAUGUGCCUUGCAUGCAUGAGGUCCUGGGUUCAAUCCCCGGUCCAUG
rnacentral:tRNA from 1 species